rnacentral:rRNA from 1 species
AUUGAACGCUGGCGGCAGGCCUAACACAUGCAAGUCGAGCGGAUGAAGGGAGCUUGCUCCUGGAUUCAGCGGCGGACGGGUGAGUAAUGCCUAGGAAUCUGCCUGGUAGUGGGGGAUAACGUCCGGAAACGGGCGCUAAUACCGCAUACGUCCUGAGGGAGAAAGUGGGGGAUCUUCGGACCUCACGCUAUCAGAUGAGCCUAGGUCGGAUUAGCUAGUUGGUGGGGUAAAGGCCUACCAAGGCGACGAUCCGUAACUGGUCUGAGAGGAUGAUCAGUCACACUGGAACUGAGACACGGCCCAGACUCCUACGGGAGGCAGCAGUGGGGAAUAUUGGACAAUGGGCGAAAGCCUGAUCCAGCCAUGCCGCGUGUGUGAAGAAGGUCUUCGGAUUGUAAAGCACUUUAAGUUGGGAGGAAGGGCAGUAAGUUAAUACCUUGCUGUCUUGACGUUACCAACAGAAUAAGCACCGGCUAACUUCGUG